rnacentral:rRNA from 1 species
UUAAUAGGGACAGUCGGGGGCAUCAGUAUUCAAUUGUCAGAGGUGAAAUUCUUGGAUCUAUUGAAGACUAACUAUUGCGAAAGCAUUUGCCAAGGAUGUUUUCAUUGAUAAGGAACGAAAGUUAGGGGAUCGAAGACGAUCCGAUACCGUCGUAGUCUUAACUAUAAACUAUGCCGACUAGGGAUCGGACGAUGUUAUUUUUUGACUCGUUCGGCACCUUUCGAGAAAUCAAAGUGCUUGGGCUCCAGGGGGAGUAUGGUCGCAAGGCUGAAACUUAAAGAAGUUGACGGAAGGGCACCACCAGGGGUGGAGCCUGCGGCUUAAUUUGACUCAACACGGGGAAACUCACCAGGUCCAGACACAAUGAGGAUUGACAGAUUGAGAGCUCUUUCUUGAUUUUGUGGGUGGUGGCGCAUGGCCGUUCUUAGUUGGUGGANUGAUUUGUCUGCUUAAUUGCGAUAACGAACGAGACCUUAACCUGCUAACUAGCCCCAAUUGCUUUGGCAGUUGGCUGGCUUCUUAGAGGGACUAUCGGCUCAAGCCGAUGGAAGUUUGAGGCAAUAACAGGUCUGUGAUGCCCUUAGAUGUUCUGGGCCGCACGCGCGCUACACUGACAGAGCCAGCGAGUAUUUCCUUGUCCGANAGGUCCGGGUAAUCUUGNUAAACUCUGUCGUGCUGGGGAUAGAGCAUUGCAAU